UACGAAGGGUGCAAGCGUUACUCGGAAUUACUGGGCGUAAAGCGUGCGUAGGCGGUUUGUUAAGUCUGUCGUGAAAGCCCCGGGCUCAACCUGGGAAUGGCGAUGGAUACUGGCGAGCUAGAGUACGGUAGAGGAGAGUGGAAUUCCCGGUGUAGCAGUGAAAUGCGCAGAUAUCGGGAAGAACACCCGUGGCUAAGGCGGCUCUCUAGUACGGUACUGACGCUGAGACGCGAAAGCGUGGGGAGCGAACAGG
rnacentral:rRNA from 1 species